ensembl:lncRNA
GUGGAGGAAAUUAAAUUCCAGUCACGUCUGAGGUCCUCUGCUCUGCUCCCCACACCAGGUCCCAGUGGAGGCUGAGAGCCCCUGGCCUUCCUACAUGUGGCCUUCCCCACACCUUGAGGGCCUGGCCACCUCCACCAACAAAACUCCAGGGCCCCCUCCUAGGCUGGGAGAAAUUCCUCAUCACUCUUCUGUCCUGGGCUACUUUAAAGGUCCAUCUAGGACACCCAGCAUCAUCUCUGCAUUUUGGCGUCUACAAAAUACAGCAAGAGAUUUAAUUUUCAGCCCAGUGAGACGGUGGAGGAGAGGCGAGUCAUGCCACUGCAGUUCCUCGCUAUGCCAUUCAUACAGAGCAUUCUCCAUGCCCAGGAGUCCAGGAGUCCAGUGGGCCCAUGAUGCCCAGGAGUUCCUCGACACUCAGGGAGGUAAGCAUGCUCUGCCCACACCUAAGUGGGCACCGAUGGCCCUGAGAAGCCAUGCACUCCUUGCAAACCAGAGCAAAAGAAUACAAAAGAGCCGGGUGCAGUGGCUCAUGCCUGUAAUCCCACCACUUUGGGAGGGCGAGGCGGGUGGAGUGCCUGAGGUCAGGAGUUCGAGACCAGCCUGGCCAACAUAGUGGAACCCCCAUCUCCACUAAAAAUACAAAAAAUUAGCUGGGUGUGGUGGUGGGUGCCUGUAAUCCCAGCUACUUGGGAGGCUGAGGCAGGAGAGUAGCUUGAACUUAGGAGGUGGAGGUUGCAGUGAACCGAGAUCAUGCCAUUGCACUCCAGCCUGGGCAACAAGAACGAAACUCCGUCUCAAAAAAAAAAAAAAAGAAUCAAAAAAAGACAGUGGAGGUCUAAGAAACACAAUUGACCAAAGAAUCCCAUCACAUCCUUUCUUACUCACCUUCUGUCCUUGUGUUAGCAAAACAGAUCCAUUAAAAAUGACACAAGAAGGAAAGAGAGAGCUAGGACGAUCCAUAGCUCCCUGCCCUCUCAUUCAGCCUCAUCAUAAGUCAAAGGUACAAAGGGAAAUGUGUGUGUAUUACCAACAGAAGUAAAAACAGCGGGGUUAGUUUUGUACAGCACUUUCACUGUUCUGGUAAGAAAAAAAAUAUAUAUAUACACACACAUAUAUAUACACACACAUACAUAUAUAGACUACAAAAUAAAAAUUCUGCAAUUUUGGUGAUUCUGCAUAGGAGUUAAAUGUUCUUAUAUUUGCAUUUAAAACUGGCACUAUUCAAGUUAAAGAUGAAUUGUAAAACUCAUGCUAAUAAUUUAAAAUGUGAAUUUUUCUUUACUUAGAAUGACACUAAAUAGCAAAUAAAAUCCACAAACUAUGGAGCUAACCCUGUUUCUGGCAGAAGACCUAUAAAAAUGAAUAUCAUAUGUUUGAAAAACAUUAUGUGAUCUCAGAUCUUACAAUCAAAAGAGCCACUGUGUCAAUGCCUUCCUCGAGCUUUCUUGGGUUCUGUGUGGGACUAUCACAUGGUGCUAUAUUGUUCUUUGGCAAAGGGUAGUGGGUGGAGAUCACAGUGGUCCCACUAGCUAUGUGAUCAUGAACAAGCCUCUGCCUUCUCAAUCUGCAACAGGGAGGUAGCAUAUAUCUUGUCAUUUGUCAGGAGUUCCUGUAAAAGAAUGCAC